CCUACGGGGUGCAGCAGUGGGGAAUAUUGGGCAAUGGGCGCAAGCCUGACCCAGCAACGCCGCGUGAAGGAAGAAGGCUUUCGGGUUGUAAACUUCUUUUGUCAGGGACGAAGCACGUGUCGGUACCUGCCGCAUAAGCCACGGCUAACUACGUGCCAGCAGCCGCGGUAAUACGUCGGUGGCAAGCGUUAUCCGGAUUUACUGGGUGUAAAGGGCGUGUAGGCGGGACUGCAAGUCAGAUGUGAAAACCACGGGCUCAACCUGUGGCCUGCAUUUGAAACUGUAGGUCUUGAGUACUGGAGAGGCAGACGGAAUUCCUAGUGUAGCGGUGAAAUGCGUAGAGAUUAGGAGGAACACCAGUGGCGAAGGCGGUCUGCUGGACAGCGACUGACGCUGAGGCGCGAAAGCGUGGGGAGCAAACAGGAUUAGAUACCCUUGUAGUC
rnacentral:rRNA from 1 species